rnacentral:rRNA from 1 species
UACGUAGGGGGCGAGCGUUGUCCGGAGUUACUGGGCGUAAAGGGCACGCAGGCGGUGCGGCGCGUUUCGCGUGACAGCGGAGGCUUAGCUCUCCGAGGAUGCGAAAGACGGCGGCACUUGAGGGCCAGAGAGGGACACGGAAUCCGGGUGGAGUGGUGAAAUGCGUAGAGAUGUGGAGGAACACCGAUGGCGAAGGCAGCCCCCUGGGCGUAACACUGACGCUCAGGCACGAAAGCGUGGGGAGCAAACAGG